rnacentral:tRNA from 1 species
GUAAAUAUAGUUUAACAAAAACAUUAGAUUGUGAUUCUAAAGACAGGAGAUAAAACCCCCUUGUUUACC